AAUAUUGGACAAUGGGGGCAACCCUGAUCCAGCCAUGCCGCGUGUGUGAAGAUGGUCUUCGGAUUGUAAAGCACUUUAAGUUGGGAGGAAGGGCUUUAGGUUAAUACCCUGAAGUUUUGACGUUACCAACAGAAUAAGCACCGGCUAACUCUGUGCCAGCAGCCGCGGUAAUACAGAUGGUGCAAGCGUUAAUCGGAAUUACUGGGCGUAAAAGGGGCGUAAGUGGUUCAGUAAAAUGGGUGUGAAAUCCGCGGGCUUAAACUGGGAACAGCUUUCAUAACUGCUGAGCUAGAGUACGGUAGAGGGUAGUGGAAUUUCCUGUGUAGCGGUGAAAUGCGUAGAUAUAAGAAGGAACACCAGUGGCGAAGGCGACUACCUGGACUGAUACUGACACUGAGGUGCGAAAGCGUGGGUAGCGAA
rnacentral:rRNA from 1 species